rnacentral:lncRNA from 1 species
UCACAUAGUUUGAGGAGCUCUGACAAAAUGAAGACGGAUGAGGCCAAUCCAGUUAAAAACAGCAAAUCUGCCAAAGGAGAAAACAGAAAAGAUUCAGGACGGGCUGCAGCUCUGUUGCGCCGGCAGGAAGCGCCUUCCCUGCCAGUCCUCCUGAUAAAGUGAGAGGUGCGGAGGACCAGCCCUUUUCAUUCCCCUGAAGGCAGGGAGAUCUUCCUAACCCAGGAUCCAAAAUGCUGCAGUUCCAGAAGGGCCUGCCUGUCGUUCCAGGCAAACACCAGGCAGCUCCAGAGCACAGGGGCAUUCACUGGUGACCCACACUGACACUGCUUUUUGGAGGACAAGGCAGAGGUGACCAUCCCAGUCUUGCCUGGAGGUCACAGGACGGUUGUCACUGCAGCCUCAGGUCUGCUGCAUAAUCCCAUGACCCUCCAGAUCUGAGCCAUGACCCACUCCGGGCCCUGCCGGCGGGGAGGCGGUGGGCCCGUGGGGGCUGCCUCACUGGCCUCCCUCGUCCUCUAUUCCAGGGUGGGGGUGGCUCUCAGCACCCUGGGGAAAA